UACGUAUGGUGCAAGCGUUAUCCGGAUUUACUGGGCGUAAAGGGAGGGCAGGCGGCGCGCCAAGUCUGAUGUGAAACCCCGGGGCUCAACCCCGGGCAUGCAUUGGAAACUGGCGGGCUGGAGUGCCGGAGAGGUAAGCGGAAUUCCUAGUGUAGCGGUGAAAUGCGUAGAUAUUAGGAGGAACACCAGUGGCGAAGGCGGCUUACUGGACGGCAACUGACGCUGAGGCUCGAAAGCGUGGGGAGCAAACAGG
rnacentral:rRNA from 1 species